UUUGUUGAUUUGAGUCGUCUUAGCUAUAAUAUAAUGCUAAUCAUUACAGCAUUAUUAUAAUUAUUUGUAUUAAUAUUAUAAGAGUGACGGUCCAGUAAUGGCGACGAUAUUGAUUUGGGACUGUUGUUGUGUUUAACUACAGAGAUACAAGUACAUAUUCACAAAUCAACUCUGGAUGCACGGACAGUGCAUGAAACUAAAUGAAUGGACUACAUCAAGCAGCACAUGGAAGAACCCUCCCUGCAGCUAUGUGAUGCCACCAGGUCCAGUUCAUCUGAUGAAGAGGACUUCUUCUUCGUCAUCUCAAGCGCAUGACAGCAGCAAACAGCUGGAUGGAGACGUGGAUCACGUUGACUUGCUGAAAUGCUUCCCAACUGUGUGCUGCUGUCUGUGAAGCUAGACACACUCUACCUGCACCUGGGCCUGUGAAGCUAGACACACUCUACCUGCACCAUGUGAACGGCUCUUCAGCAUCGCAGGACUCGUCUUCAGCCCCAGAAGAAUGACACGGAAAUCUGUCCAUUUUGAAAAUCAACUUCUUUUGAAGAUGAACAAUACAUUUUUCACUUUAAAGUGAUGAUUCUGGUUGUUACUUUUGGUUCUGCUUUUUUCUGUGUUAAUUGUGUUUUUAUAUUUUAGUAAUUUCAUAGUAUUCAUAUAUUGCUAAGUUCAUCCGAGCUCAUACUCCUUGUUCAUGGCGGCCACAGCACCUAAACAAAUAAACUUUAUAAUUCUCAAAAUUCUGA